ACGAACGCUGGCGGCAUGCCUCACACAUGCAAGUCGAACGAGACCUUCGGGUCUAGUGGCGCACGGGUGCGUAACGCGUGGGAACCUGCCCUUAGGUUCGGAAUAACUCCCCGAAAGGGGUGCUAAUACCGGAUAAUGUCUUCGGACCAAAGAUUUAUCGCCUUUGGAUGGGCCCGCGUUGGAUUAGCUAGUUGGUAGGGUAAAAGCCUACCAAGGCGACGAUCCAUAGCUGGUCUGAGAGGAUGAUCAGCCACACUGGGACUGAGACACGGCCCAGACUCCUACGGGAGGCAGCAGUGGGGAAUAUUGGACAAAGGGCGAAAGCCUGAUCCAGCAAUGCCGCGUGAGUGAUGAAGGCCUUAGGGUUGUAAAGCUCUUUUACCCGGGAUGAUAAUGACAGUACCGGGAGAAUAAGCUCCGGCUAACUCCGUG
rnacentral:rRNA from 1 species